CUUUCCAUACUAAUCACCCAUUAACACAUAUCUCAACUUGCAUUUCUUUUCAACUUCAUUGCUGCCUCCCCCACUAUCCCAUCCCUAACACAGUUUUGAUUCUUCUAUUUUCCUAUCCUUCAUAUUUUUCUCCACUCCUAGUCAUUUCUGGUUUGACCUUGUGUCUCUGUCUCUUUUUCAGGUCCUCUAUAUCUCAUCUCACCAUUUCUUUCAUAAUUUAUUUAAAUGCCUCUUAUUAUUAUUAAUCCUUAAAUCGGUCUGGUUUAUUGUCUCUUUGGAAUGUUCUUGACACUCACUUAUCCUGUUGCCUGUUAUGUACUUACUCAUUUUCUCUCAUCUCCGCUUACAAUAAUAAAAAACACCAUACAUCCAAUCACUCUGGUCUGUCAUAUAUAUCACUUUCCUUACUUAGUAACAUUCUGUCACUUCUUUCUUUUUAGAUUCUUAGACUUUACUUAACAAUAGGAUACUGCACACCUAUAUCCAUUACGACCCAUUCAGUCAAACUUCUUUCAGAUUAUAACAUUUAAGUUUUAUUGCAUUCACUAUUCUUCUUUUUUCAUCUAUCUUUUCAUUUCCAUUCAUAUCAGGCAACUUCCAAUAUCCAUUUAUCCCAAUUUAAAAUAAAAAUUUUUUCACAUUUUUCAUUUGUUUGAUUUCAGUUACAAUCACAUACGUUCAUAAAGUUUGUGCACUUAAAUAUAUUUCAUUUAGUUCAGUCUGUUCACUCCACUAUCACCAAUAGAAAUCAAUCUCAUACUUUUCUAUUUCAUAUACUCAUUCAAUUUAGAUUCUUCUUUACAUACUGACACCAACCCACAAUUUGACCUAUAUUGGUAGCUCUCAUUCUAAUUAUUUUAUUCACUAUUCCACGUUGGUAGACUAUCAAGAUACAUUACUUCCUAUUCAUUCAGUCCAUUCAAAACUACAUAAAGAUGAAUUAGACUUUAUGUCACAUAGUUUAAUUUUAUUAUAUUAUUACAUACUCUCAUUCAUUUCACAAUACUAUAUACAAUCAUAUCCUUCACACAUAUAUCUACCUCACUAACAGUAAUCUUUAGUUAUUUAAUUUUGUUAACAACUAUUUUCCAACUUUUAACAGACAUAAUUAUUCAUUACAAUAGUAUAAUAAUAAAUUUAACACAAUAAAUAGCCACCUUUUGUAUAUAUACUGUUUUCUCGCAAUAUUCUACCGUUUACCUUCAACCUGUUGUCUGCUUGCCUUGUUAGGCAACCAACAUUUCAUCACAUAAAAACACUCUUAAAUUCUGGUUCUCUCGGCUUGUUUAGCUUUGUUUUUCCACGCAAGUCUAAUUAUCUUAUUAUGUAGUGUAUUUCCUUGUUUCAACAAACUCAACUUUCAUCUCGUCAUUUCACAUCCGAUGACGUCACAACUUAAACCACGUAAUAUAUCUGCAUUAAAUUUAAUGAAUCUAUAAGUUAUUCUGGAAUAGAGAGUUGCUAAUUUAAACUUUACAGUAGAUUUUAUUAUUCAAAUAAUUUAAAUUAUUUUUGCAUACAAACCUUCGCAUUUUAUUAAAAAAUCCAAAAUCAAAUGAAACUUUAACCAAAAAUUGGCUUUAUCUUGUCAUGUCAUGUCACCCUUGUCAAAUUGUAUAUCCACUUCAUAAUUUCUCAGUUGGUCUGUGCCCAUUGAAUUGGCAAGUACCUAGUAUCUUCGAGCAGGGAACCAUGGCACCCUUUUAGCAUGUGUUCCACUUUAUCCAUUAACAUCGACUUGUAGUCAUAACAUUUUAACAUAUUACAUUAUGUAAACCAUAUAUGAUGAUGUUAACACUAUUUACGGUGUGCUAGUUUCAAAAUACUCGGCAGGAUGCACUGAAGAUGUUCUGUUUAGAACGAAAACGUUCUGCAAUCGAUGACAUUUUAUAGUUUUUAAAUAAACAAUUUUAUACCAGAAUACAUCUCGAAGUUUUUACUUCUGUAUUGGUUUUUUAAUAAAUAAAAGGGCUAACUGAUUAUAAUAGGUAUGUAUUACCUUUAUUUUGUGGCUUCUAGUAUUGCUCGUUGCUUGCUUUAUCCAGGACAAAACAGGGAAAGAAAUAUACCUACUCAAAAACUCAUAUAAAUUUUAUAACUACUAUUUAUUUAUAUACUAUAUACCAUAAAUAUAAAAAUUCAAAUGUAUGCUAAACUUUAUUCUGUUGUAAAAUUUCUUAUCUAAUCAUAAAAAACCUUUAAUUUUA
rnacentral:lncRNA from 1 species